rnacentral:rRNA from 1 species
AGAGUUUGAUCCUGGCUCAGGACGAACGCUGGCGGCGUGCCUAAUACAUGCAAGUAGAACGCUGAAGGAGGAGCUUGCUUCUCCGGAUGAGUUGCGAACGGGUGAGUAACGCGUAGGUAACCUGCCUGGUAGCGGGGGAUAACUAUUGGAAACGAUAGCUAAUACCGCAUAAGAGUAGAUGUUGCAUGACAUUUGCUUAAAAGGUGCAAUUGCAUCACUACCGGAUGGACCUGCGUUGUAUUAGCUAGUUGGUGGGGUAACGGCUCACCAAGGCGACGAUACAUAGCCGACCUGAGAGGGUGAUCGGCCACAACUGGGACUGAGACACGACCCAGACUCCUACGGGAGGCAGCAGUAGGGAAUCUUCGGCAAUGGACGGAAGUCUGACCGAGCAACGCCGCGUGAGUGAAGAAGGUUUUCGGAUCGUAAAGCUCUGUUGUAAGAGAAGAACGAGUGUGAGAGUGGAAAGUUCACACUGUGACGGUAUCUUACCAGAAAGGGACGGCUAACUACGUGCCAGCAGCCGCGGUAAUACGUAGGUCCCGAGCGUUGUCCGGAUUUAUUGGGCGUAAAGCGAGCGCAGGCGGUUAGAUAAGUCUGAAGUUAAAGGCUGUGGCUUAACCAUAGUACGCUUUGGAAACUGUUUAACUUGAGUGCAAGAGGGGAGAGUGGAAUUCCAUGUGUAGCGGUGAAAUGCGUAGAUAUAUGGAGGAACACCGGUGGCGAAAGCGGCUCUCUGGCUUGUAACUGACGCUGAGGCUCGAAAGCGUGGGGAGCAAACAGGAUUAGAUACCCUGGUAGUCCACGCCGUAAACGAUG